AUGCAAGUGGGGGCCAUGUGACCGCGACGACUGUAACACAGCCCGUGCUGAGACCUGCGCAUCAGUCUGAUGGACCAGACCCCCAGGAUCCCCUCCAGUCACAUGUUCUUCAUAGACUCUGUGACCGGCGAGGUGUCUCUCACUGAGGACGGGACAGAAAUCCUCACGGUUCAAGCAGCCGACAACGAUGAUCCGAAAACCGAUAACGUGACAAUCUUCUAGCGGCUGGUUGGCCAGAUCCUAGAGAGCUCUAGUGCCUUGUUCCAGGUGGACCGUGACUCUGGGGUCAUCUCAGUGCAGGCAGGCAACCUGGAGGGAGCUGCCCCACAGUACACACUGACCAUCACUGCCGAGGACGCUAAAGGCUUAAACAGCUCCUGUACUGUGGUUGAGACAGUGCAGGACGAGAACGACAACCCACCCGUCUUCACUCAACACGAGGAGCCUUUACCCAGGCUGAAGAGAGGACCGACAGCGUGAUUUUUGGUUUGGGGGGGGAUAGAAGUGAUUCAGAGCACUCAUUGCAAAUCUAUCUGCUUAGACAGUAUAUUCGUUUUUUUCUUUUCUGUUGAAUGGCAGCUGUUUGAACUCUCCCUCCAGGUCACUGAUUUGCUUUCCCAGAGGGGAGAGAGAUGGAGUGCUUUUAGGGGGAUCCAAGCUUAAAUCUCAGGCUUAUACAAAUGUAGGACCUUCAUUUGAGCCAGUUCGCUACAGCAGUGAAGUAAUCCUUCAGCAACAGAAAAUGUGAAUUGUUACGUGGCUUAUAAUUAAUGGACAAUGAAUUAAGUCAAGUCUGAAAUGUAAAAGUGGGAGUUACAAACUUCAGAAGCAUUAAAAAAAUUUAAAAAAAUGUAUCUCAAAUACGCUACACGUUUGACAUUUCCUGCAUUGCAGGACAGUUCUCCUACAACAGGGUGAUCAAAUUAAUAUGCUACAUCUGUGGAGAUGGAAGCGUAUUAUUGUAGGGUUUAUUUCUCAUUGUGCUCCAAAUGGACAAUGUUCUCUGAGUUAAUCUGAAUAAGCCUCAGAUGAGUCCUGUGAGAAUCCUUUAUUUAUAGAAUAAGGCAAAUCCCCAGCGUCACCAUAAGAAAGCUCUAAAUGAUAUCCCUGACACUUGCGGCAGUCAGAACAUUUCACAUCUUCAUAGGAAAAUCGUUGCACUGAGCAACAUUUACUAUCACGUCUGAGCUCACCGGUAAAAAAAAAAGUAGUUUUUAAUGAAAUAUGAAAUACUUUGUUAAAAGUGAAAAAAUGCAUCCCUUCUAGUACAGAAAUGAACUGCAUCGUUCUGCAAUUUUGUCAAGAAAGAAAACUCAUACGAGCUCUCGUUAGCCGCACAGUGUUGUCAUCUCCUCUGGUUCGGGGGGAGUGUAGCUGAGCCUACCAUUGAAAUGGACCUCAGUCUUAACAUAAAGGCUAUUUCUGAUCUAUGAGAGCAUCUCUGGGGACAGUCAGUGUUUCCAGUGGUCUUUUCCAUAGUCAAUCCUCAUGAAUAAUGAAGUCACCGCUGAGGUCUCCAUGAGACAACAUUUGGUUAGUGCUGGCCUCAAGGUAUGCAGUAUACGGGCCAAAGAUAGACCCUUUUCUAACACACUGUUACGGAGCAGAAAACAGUCUAGACCCACACCUCCUGAAUAAUACAGGAGACAGGAUAGUCAUCUUAAAAUGGGGACUUGACAAUGGGACACAAAGCUCUCGUUGUCCUCACUGGUGCUAAGUCAAUGUAAACCCCAACUGUGCUUGUUAAGUUCAGAUGCUCUCAGAGUGAGAGAAGGUACUGUUACGAUACAGUAGACGUGCCCUGCCUUCAUAUUCUAGAGUCAUCCCAGAGUCAUCCCAGAGUCAUCCAGUGUCUUCUUCAUUGGGUGCAUGCCAUGACAAAAGAUUUACAGCUCAUUUUGGAUUCUCAUUUUGGAUUCUCUAUGCACCUCAACAAUGCUGUCAAUCAUGUUUUGAGUCGAUGCCAGCCCCAGGCUCAUGUUCUCUCACUCUGGCACGCACACGCACGCACACGCACGCACGCGCGCGCACACACAC